rnacentral:rRNA from 1 species
AUUGAACGCUGGCGGCAGGCUUAACACAUGCAAGUCGAGCGGUAGCACAGGGGAGCUUGCUCCCUGGGUGACGAGCGGCGGACGGGUGAGUAAUGUCUGGGAAACUGCCUGAUGGAGGGGGAUAACUACUGGAAACGGUAGCUAAUACCGCAUAACGUCGCAAGACCAAAGAGGGGGACCUUCGGGCCUCUUGCCAUCAGAUGUGCCCAGAUGGGAUUAGCUAGUAGGUGGGGUAAUGGCUCACCUAGGCGACGAUCCCUAGCUGGUCUGAGAGGAUGACCAGCCACACUGGAACUGAGACACGGUCCAGACUCCUACGGGAGGCAGCAGUGGGGAAUAUUGCACAAUGGGCGCAAGCCUGAUGCAGCCGUGCCGCGUGUGUGAAGAAGGCCUUCGGGUUGUAAAGCACUUUCAGCGAGGAGGAAGGUGGUGAGCUUAAUACGUUCAUCAAUUGACGUUACUCGCAGAAGAAGCACCGGCUAACUCCGUG